rnacentral:tRNA from 1 species
AGCAGAGUCAGCUAAAUAAGCUUUCGGGCCCAUACCCCGAACAUGUUGGUUAAAGUCCUUCCCCUGCUA